ACGGCCGCGCGCCCCCGGCCCCACUAGGGGCCGAGCCCACGAGGCGCGCAGAGUACUUACUUGUGGAAAGAAACGGGCUUAUCCUUGUCGUAUCGGUUCUUGCAGCCGUAGGCGGAACAGGACUGCACCAUCCUCCCGGUCCUCAGUUACUUAACUUCUGCCGCCCCAGCAGGCAGUUGAGGCUGCUAUCGAUGUCGCCGCGCUCAGCUUUGACACCUUCACUGCUUCUGUAGUUUUGGUCAGCAGUUAGAGUGAUGAGAGCCUUAUUCGGAGUGACUCAUGUGCUCGUUUUGUUGUUUGCAUUAGCAGAAGGACCACAGCCAUCGCCCGUCUCCCAUCUCCAAAAUGGCGGAGGCAGCUUCAACCUCACCUCUCGCGAUGAGUUCGUCCUACUGUCUCUGAUUAGCCCUGAGGUCAGAGGAGAACCCAAGCUGUUCUACUCCAGUAUAUUCCAAAAGUCUUCCAAAGGAUCCCAGUUUCUCCCCAUGUAGGAGUCCUAGGAGUCUAAUACCAGUUCGGUCACUUAUCUGUGCAUGGCUUCAGACAAAAAAAAGCCCUUUCAUCUACGUCAGGGAUUUCAUCUAUGAAAAGGAAGGCCUCUCACCGCUGUGGCCUCUUCCGUUGCAGAGCACAGGCUCCGGAUGCGCAGGCCCAGUGGCCAUGGCCCACGGGCCCAGCUGCUCUGCGGCAUGUGGGAUCUUCCUGGACCGGGGCACGAACCCGUGUCCCCUGCAUCGGCAGGCGGACUCUCAACCACUGCGCCACCAGGGAAGCCCUAAGUGAAUUAUUAAUUGCCACAAAAAUUUUUGAAAUGCCAGGCCUUACCCUUUCUGGAAAUGAUUAUGGUUUCUGAAUAUAUACAGACUAAUAAUUAGAUUAUAUUUACUUUGUAAAUAUACUAAAACCCACUGAAUUGUAUACUUUAAACAGGGGUACUAUAUGGUGUGUAAAUUACAUCUAAAUAAAGUUUUU